UACGGGGGGAGCAAGCGUUGUUCGGAUUUACUGGGCGUAAAGGGCGGGUAGGCGGCCACCGCAAGUCAGUUGUGAAAUCUCUGGGCUUAACCCAGAAAGGUCAACUGAUACUGCGGGGCUAGAGUGCAGAAGGGGCAACUGGAAUUCUCGGUGUAGCGGUGAAAUGCGUAGAUAUCGAGAGGAACACCAGUGGCGAAGGCGGCUCACUGGACCGGUACUGACGCUGAUGCGCGAAAGCGUGGGGAGCAAACGGG
rnacentral:rRNA from 1 species